rnacentral:rRNA from 1 species
UACGUAGGGGGCAAGCGUUGUCCGGAAUUACUGGGCGUAAAGGGCUCGUAGGUGGCCAACUAAGUCAGACGUGAAAUCCCCAGGCUUAACCUGGGAACUGCGUCUGAUACUGGAUGGCUUGAAUUCGGGAGAGGGAUGCAGAAUUCCAGGUGUAGCGGUGAAAUGCGUAGAUAUCUGGAGGAAUACCGGUGGCGAAGGCGGCAUCCUGGACCGAGAUUGACACUGAUGAGCGAAAGCUAGGGGAGCAAACGGG